rnacentral:other from 1 species
UCCCUGUGCGCUUGUAGUAAGGAGCCUGUGCCCCAGAGAGUCCCGGGUGGCACCCGGCGCUCCAGGCCAUGCAGCCACGGCCACCACGUAGCUCGCAGCGGCGGUAGCGCCCCCUGUGAAGCGGCCCGCGAUGCCCCUACCGCUGUGAACUCUGCAGCCCGCCCGAACACUCUCCGCCCGGGACCGGCUGUACUUCGGACACGCUCGACUCUGAGCGCCAGCGACAAGCGACGAGGAGUCCAGAGAGCUGCAAGCUCGGAGAAGGCCUCCCCGCACAGGUGGGGGAAGCCGGCCGGUGCAGCGCGGGGACAGACACUCGGGCUGGCGCUGGCGGCUAGGC